CUGUUACCAGCGCUAGAGCCAGGAGACCUGGCUUCUAAUUUCAAGUAUAUCUCUAACUAGCUGUGUGAUCUUGGGCAGUCCUGACCCCUCUCUGAGGUUUGGCUCCACGAUGGACAUAACCAGAAGACUGAACUCAUUGGCACAACUCCCUAUAUACUCAAGUCUACAUGUCUUCAAUUUUAGGGAGCCAGUGGUCAUGGCGGUGAAUUGGAUACCUACACCAGACAAAGCCUGAGAGGCGUAAUCAAAUAAGGGAACCACUUGAACUGAACUCCCAGCAGGAGCAGGAGGGAGGCCUGGAGAGGUUACAGGUCAACUGCUAUGCUGGUGUGAACCAGGGACAACUAUUGAGAGCCCACAUCUGCUGUUUCACCUUGAGACAAGGAACCUGUUCACACUGGAUGAGCCCAUGUCUAUGCAUGUCCUCUUUCAGAUGGCCCUGAAGGUGACAUAGGCAGUGAGACUUUGAAGAUCACAUCAAAGCCAUCAAAGCACAGAAUGUUGGUGCCGGAUGGCCCUUUCAAGUUCACGGUCCACUCCAUCCCAAAGACAGAUGGGAAAACUGAAGCCCAUGCUAAGAGAAGUUC
ensembl:lncRNA